rnacentral:rRNA from 1 species
GCGACGUACGUGCCGGGGGCGGCGGUGAUAGGGAGGCGGGGAUGGUUUGUCGGGGUGACUGGUGGUAAAGGGUGUGGGGGAGGCGUGUUAAGUUCCGGGUGAAAUCGCCCGGCGCAACCGGGAGGGUGCGCGGAAAACUGGCGGGCUAGAGUGCGGGAUGGGAGAGUAGAAUUCCUGGUGUAGCGGUGAAAUGCGUAGAUAUCAGGAGGAAUACCUGUGGUGUAGACGGCUCUCUGGACCGUAACUGACGCUGAAACACGAAAGCGUGGGUAGCAAACAGGAUUAGAUACCCCGGUAGUC